ACUGGCAGAUCAUAGGAGGAGGUCAAAAUCCCUAGACGCCCUGAUUCCCAAAUCGGGCCUGGCAACACCUCUUCUUCCCCCAUCUCCUUCUCCACCACCGGCCACCACCGCGGCCAGGCUGGCGUGGUGGGGCGCCUUCGCCACCCAUCCAUCUAUCCAUCACUAGCGCCCCUCACCACCAGCGCCCAUCUCGCCUGUCGUACCCGCGCGCCUCCACCUACUACUGAUUCUCCUUGCCGCUCCCUUCGCUUACCUCGCUGUUCUUCUUCUUCCCGACGUCCUCCCUGCUGCCCUUCUGCUUCUCCUCUGCUUUCCCUCUCCUAGCGCAUCAACUUGCUGCUUCUUCUUCUUGCGCCGAGCUACCGCUGCUCCUUCUUCUCCUGUACCUGCUGCUGCUCUUCACCUUCUCUUGCCCCAAACUGCUGCUGCUCUCUCUCCAACGCCCCUGCUGCUCCUCCCUUCUCUCUGAACCUCCCUUCGCUGAUCCUCCCUCUUGCUUCACCCCUGCUGCUCCUCCUCUCAACGUCUUGCUCCUUCCCUUCUCGGAAACCUCAAAACUGCUGCUGCUCCUUCUUUCCAAGCUCCGCUGCUGCUUUUUCCUUGUUGUGCCCUGCUGCACCUCCUCCUCUUAUUCCUUACCUCCUCUGCCGCUGCUCUCUUUAGAUCUCUCUCUCUCUCUCUCUCUCUCUCUCUGAAUUUUCUAUAAGCUAAGAUGUGUAAAACUUUGUAAAAUUCAGAUUUUAAGAGUGUUGGCAAUCUGUAGCUUGUUCUGUUUGGUACUUGUAAUAUAUAAUGCUUGACUAGUAUUACUUUAGGCUGUGAGAAAUAAUUGUCAUUGAAAUCUUGCUCUGUGAUUCAGUAACCUUCUAGUAUUUGUGUGUGUUCACCUUUUGUACUAGUUAACUUUGUAUGUGUUUGAACCCAUCGAAAUAACUAGUCCCUGUAUUACCUAUGUACCUGUGACAUAUAUGCUUGUGAUAUAAACAUUUUCCUGUGACAUAUAUGCUUGUGAUAUAUACCUGAAUUUUCUGUCAUAUGCUUGCUAGAUAUAUAUGUCCAUGUCUUUUGACUUCUCUUGUCAUUGAUGUUAGUAUUUUAAUUUCUCAAGCAUUACGAAAACACCAAAAAGACAAUGAGUAAAAUCUGAAUCUCCCUGUGCUCUUUGCUUUCUCUUUGUCGUCUACUUUGGUUAGUUUAGGUCUAUAUUUCCUCGCAAUCAUCAUCUGAAUUCUGUCACCUAGCUUUAGUCGAGCAUCGUUUGCGUCGCCUAGUCCCUGUGGAGAACACGACACUCGCAGUUUGGCCGAAAAACCCCAAUGUACUCACAAUAGAUCAUUUUGGCGCCGUUGCCGGGGACUAGCGUCGAGUGACUGUGUUAGGCUAUAGACUAGGUUUUUCUUCUUUUGCUAGUUUGUGCCAUAUAUGUGAUAUAUCUCUAACUCCUAACCCUUGUUCCAGUUUAUUUCCUCUUUGUUUUAUUUUACUUUUUUGUAGGUUAGAACCAUUUUCUCGGUUAUGGCUUACUAUUCAGAUCACCAGGCUUAUGCGAGCAACACUACAAACAUCACAGAAAGUAUUCAAGACCUGAUAAGUAAGGUUUCCCAUCAAUUAGAUGAUUUAGCUCGCCAGCGAGAAGUAGUUUUUGAGGAUAGGCCUAGCUCUUACGAUCCUUAUUCUAGAGGCCAUCGUUAUGUUGCUCCUACCUGCCAUAUUUGUGGAUUUCAGGGCCAUUCGCCCACUGAAUGUUAGCGUGGUUACUCUCAUCCUCCAUAUUGUUUUAGCAUGAGCUUCGCUCAGGAGCAUAGCUCAUACCAAAACAAUUACUUACAUGGGUGGCCUAAAAACCCAAAUAUGUCAUAUAGGAGCAACAACCCUGAGAUCUCACUGUUUGCCUCUAGUUAUCCAAUACAGGGAGUUAGGUAUGAAGAGGAGAGCAAUAGCUAUGCACCACAACAAUUUUAUUCACCUCCUACUCAUAUACCUCCACCAGGAGAUGUGUCCAAUGGAGUUAAAUGGUCCUGCACUUGGUUAACCAACAACUCCAGCACAUGUUGAGCAAUCUCAUGCACAAGUGCCCACACAAGAUGACUUUGAUGAUAUAGACAAGCUCACAUUGCUUAGCCUCGAGUUCACUUGGAGUGCUGAAGAUGAUCCAAUUAGGCCGGUGAUACUAGAGGAAAUGAAGAAGAUCAAGAGUGGAAAAGAGCUAGUGGAAGAAGUAAGGAAAAUUGAGAGGAAUAUUAAUGUCGGGUGCACUAUCUCAUCCCUCCUUGAGUUGAGUGUUGCCGGGAUAUCCCUUGAGGUGUGUGAGGUUUCAACACCGUCACAUUCAGCUGAGUAAGAUAGCGAGAGUCCAUAGGAAGAGAUACUUCAGAUCCAAGAAGAAAUACUUGAAGACAAGGAACAAGAUGAUCUAGAGCUGCAAUUCCCAAGUGAUCAAGAUGAAGACAAAAGAUCUACUACUCUUGAAGAAGUAAAAGAAGUUGCUGUAGAUGAACUUGAAGAACCAGAAAUUCAUUUGCCUAUUGUCAUACAAGAGCGUGAUGAGUCAGGUUUAUCUAAUCCUCUUAAUGACAUGUCUCCAUAUGAUUUGUUUGCUACUACCUUGCAUUGCAUUAUGCCAUCACUUAAGGUAGAUUUGAAAAACUAUUUUCUUGGACUUGAUCAUACACACCUUGUUAGUGGCAUUGCUCAUAUCUCUGUUCAUGAUACUUAUGUUCCUGAUGUUAUACCCAUGCUUAAUGAAACGUGUGAUUCUAAUACUAGCAUUGAGCUUACUGAUUUGUACCAUCCUAAACUUGUGCUUUAUAGCUAUGCUUAUGUAAUUGGGUACUCUAUUGAUGAUUUAGAGGGCAUUACUCCUAUCACUCAUAUUAUCUCUUUGGUUGAGUGCCUUUUCAGGUUUUUGCUUGUGCAUGAAACAAUACAUGCUGACCGGGUCCGAGGUGACAUUCCUUGGGACCCCGGUGGACUCGGAGCAUGGUGAUGACGAGAAGCAGGGGGCACACAUGAAGAAGAGUGAAGCUGGAGCAUGCACGAGGAAGCAAAGGACAAGAGUUGCAGCUUAGAGAGUGAUCAAGCGAGUGCUACAUGAUCAAAGCCCGGUGUAUACCAUGUUCUCGGGAUCGGUGGUAUGUUCCUUUGGGGAGGCAAACAAAAAAACUUAUAAUUGGUCGAGCCAGGUGUAUACCAUGUUCUCGGGAUCGGUGGAUCAUGCACUCUUUAGGAACCUUUGGCAUAAUCAACAUUUGAACUUGCUAAUCUUCUUGUAUCAUUGUAAAAGUUUAAAAUGACCGAUUCUACUAGUAUCCUAUUGCUUUGUAACACUCUUAACCAUUGAUUUUCACUAGCUAUGUCCAAAGCAUGCAAUGUUUGGAGAUCCACUUCACUGGUACAUUCUCUAGUCAGCUCACUGUUCACCAUCUAGCUCUUGUCAUUUUCCUUUACUUGAGGACAAGUAAAUAUUUAUGUGUGGGGGAACUUAAAUAUAAGAGAUUGCCGGCUUAGAAACAAAGCCAGGCCGGGUUAAUAAACACCGGAUAUUAUCUUAUCUCAUACUGAUGACUUAUAGUCGAAAGCCAGGCUGGGUUAAUAAACACCGGGUAGUUUCAUGUAUAAAGCAUAAGGCAUCACAGCCCUCAUUGGCUUUUUAACCAUAUAUUACUAUGUCGCAUGAGAAAAACCUCAAAAAUUGUUCAAAUCAAACAACAACGACAAAUCAAGGCUUUCAUAGGCGGUCAGGCCUAAAACGCAAGUGCUUUCACGGGCUGCACAACCACUGUGUUAAACCUUUAUACAAACCUUAUAAGCUAGACCUCACACAACCAAUCUUCGUUUUAACUUUGACAAGUUCAGGGUCUGUAUAGGAUUGACUUGUCAAAAGUACAACAGGUCGUUCCAGGUUUACCUGGGCGGAGUGGGAGACUUAAAAAGGAAGGAUAACCCAGGGUUUUAGGUUAAUACACCUGGCUUUUAAGCCUAUUACAAGGGUUAUAAAAACUCUUGUUCUUUAGAACAGAGAGCUUUAACAGGGAUGCCGGUUUAUUAUAUUGAUCAUAAUAUAUACAUUGUCAAAAAUAUGUACAUCAGAAGAGCCAGUGACUCAAGUAUAGUAAGGCCGAAGAUGAGCAAUGUGCCAUGGCCAGUGGGUCUUCUCCUCUGACUUGCGUGAGUUUUGUGCUCUCGAGCAUCGAUAAGGUAGUAGGACCCAUUGUUGAGAUUCUUACCGAUCACAAAAGGUCCUUCCCAAGGUGGGAUAACUUGUGCAUACCAGUUUGAUCCUGGAUAAGCCGGAGCACCAGAUCACCUUCUUGGAAAGUUCUGGUUUUAACCCGGCGGCUGUAGUAACGACGCAGAUCUUGCUGAUAAAUCGCCGAAUGAGCUGCUGCGAUGUCACGCUCCUCAUUCAAUAGGUCAAGUGCCUCCUGACGUGCUUUUUCAUUGUCAGCUUCAACAUAAGUCGUCACACGAGGCGAGUCAUGACGAAUGUCACUAGGGAGAACCGCCUCUGCACCGUAAACCAUGAAGAAAGGCAUGUAACCCAUAGAUCUAUUGGGGUGGUAUUAAUGCUCCAUAACACGGAAGGUAACUCCUCUACCCAACAACCCGGCGUCCUCUGCAGGGGAACCAUAAGACGGGGCUUGAUCCUCUCAGGAUCUCUUGAUUGGCUCUCUCAGUUUGACCAUUAGAUUGAGGGCGAGCCACUAACGACAUGUCAAGUCGGAUGUGCUCACGUUGACAAAAUUCUUUCAUAGCACCCUUGGACAUAUUAGUGCCAUUAUCAGUUAUGAUACUGUGGGGAAAGCCAAAACGAAAAAUCACCUUUUUGAUGAA